rnacentral:rRNA from 1 species
AUGGAAUCCUUGCAGCAUCACCAGUCCGUGCUCAUCGCUGUAACUUUAUGGGCAAUAUGGUCAUCUAGGCGCCAAGCGAUACACGAGGGCAUGUUUCACUCACCUCAAGCGACUCAUUUAUUCAUCAGAAGAUUCAUAGCUGAGCUUGACAUGUGCAAGGAAAGCCGCCCAUCAGUUUCUGUUGUGCCCCCAAGAGAGCCUAGACGACUACCAAAGAUCCCACCACCGGGUUUCGCAAAGAUUCAUGUGGACGCGGGAGUUCGUCCGGGCAAAAGAGGGUCAGCUGCAGCAGUGUGCAGGGACAGACAAGGGAACUUCAUAGCAAGCUCAUCUUUGGUGAUCCCAGGGCUUGACGAUCCAGCCACCCUCGAAGUGAUCGCAUGCCGCGAGGCCCUUGCACUCGCUGAGGACUUGCAUCUACAAAGCUUCAUCGUGGCCUCGGACUCAAAACAAGUUAUCUCAGACAUCAACAAGGACGCUCGGGGAAGAUACGGUGCUAUCAUUAGUGAGAUCCGUAGUCAAGCAGAACCUUUUCAAUGUUUCUUUACUUUUGAACGUAGGGAAGUGAAUGUAGAAGCUCAGAGCUUAGCUAAAUUUUCUUUGUCUUUGGAUCCGGGACGCCACUUCUGGUUUGGCCAAUCCCAUGAUCUUAACCGUAUCUCACAUGUUGUGGAGUUUGAUGAAUAA